AUGUGGACCUGUCUUCGUCAGCGCUAUGAGCCCUCUGGUGAUGCCUUAUACCUUUCUGUGGUUCGUCAGGAGCAUGCUCUUCAGCAGGGUGACUCUACUGUUGAUGACUUCUAUGCACAGAGUUCUGCUAUCUGGCGCCAGCUUGAUUCUCUCCGCAGUGCUGGUUGUCGUACUUGGCCCUGUUGCCAGGCUAUCCAGGCCAAUUUGGAGUUUCAUCGCGUCUACGAGUUCCUGUCUCGGCUCCGUAAGGAGUUUGAGCCCCGGCGUGCUCAGUUGUUUGCUCGUGGCCGUAUUUCUCUCAUGGAGGCGCUUUCAGAGAUUCGUGCUGAGGAGACUCGCUUACGUGGUGUUGGUUUGCUGGAGGUUCCCUCUGUGCUCGCUACUCCGGCUUCUUCCACUCCACCUACUGCACCGACCCCUUCUCGCUCGAGUGCUCCGCCGCUCUUGCCCACUCCUUCUGGAGGCUCAGGUCGCCCCCAUCCACACUGUGACUACUGCAACAAUGAUGGUCAUGUUGAGUCCCAGUGCUACACAAAGCGGAAACACCUGCGCAAGGCGCGAUCAUCAUCCUCAGGGACUUCGUCA
rnacentral:rRNA from 1 species